rnacentral:rRNA from 1 species
AUUGAACGCUGGCGGCAUGCCUUACACAUGCAAGUCGAACGGCAGCACGGGGCAACCUGGUGGCGAGUGGCGAACGGGUGAGUAAUGUAUCGGAACGUACCAUUGAGUGGGGGAUAACGUAGCGAAAGUUACGCUAAUACCGCAUACUCUCUCCGGAGGAAAGCAGGGGACCGCAAGGCCUUGCGCUCUUUGAGCGGCCGAUAUCAGAUUAGCUAGUUGGUGAGGGAAAGGCUCACCAAGGCGACGAUCUGUAGCGGGUCUGAGAGGAUGAUCCGCCACACUGGAACUGAGACACGGUCCAGACUCCUACGGGAGGCAGCAGUGGGGAAUUUUGGACAAUGGGCGCAAGCCUGAUCCAGCCAUGCCGCGUGAGUGAAGAAGGCCUUCGGGUUGUAAAGCUCUUUCGGCCGGGAAAAAAUCGCAUGGGCUAAUACCCUGUGUGGAUGAUGAUACCGGAAUAAGAAGCACCGGCUAACUACGUGCCAGCCGCCGCAGUAA